AAUCGCCGCCACCUCCUCCGCCUUACUACUACAAAUCUCCGCCUCCGCCUCCUCCCUACAAGUAUGAAUCGCCGCCUCCGCCUCCCUACAAGUACGAGUCGCCGCCUCCACCACCGUACUACUACAAAUCACCUCCGCCGCCCCCAUACAAGUAUGAAUCGCCGCCGCCACCACCAUACAAGUAUGAAUCGCCGCCGCCACCACCAUACAAGUAUGAAUCGCCUCCUCCACCACCAUAUAAGUACGAAUCGCCACCGCCACCACCAUACAAGUACGAGUCGCCUCCUCCACCUCCGUACAAGUAUGAAUCGCCUCCUCCCCCACCAUACUACUACAAAUCACCACCACCACCUCCUUACAAGUAUGAAUCUCCCCCUCCACCUCCAUAUUACUACAAAUCUCCACCCCCGCCACCACCUUACUACUACAAAUCACCACCACCACCUUCUCCUGUCUACAAAUAUAAAUCUCCACCACCACCACCUUACAAGUACGAAUCUCCUCCUCCACCUCCAUACUAUUACAAGUCUCCACCACCACCGCCGUAUUACUACAAGUCUCCACCACCACCACCUCCAGUUUACAAAUACAAAUCUCCUCCUCCGCCACCAUAUUACUACAAAUCACCACCUCCUCCAUCACCAGUAUAUUACUACAAAUCUCCUCCUCCACCAGCGUAUUACUACAAAUCUCCCCCACCGCCUGUCUACUAUUACAAAUCCCCGCCACCUCCAGCUUACCACUACCAAUCGCCACCCCCACCAAGUUACAAGCUGGUAGUGGUCACGGGCAAGGUCUAUUGCAACAGAUGCUGGAACACCACAAGCAGAUACCUUCAGGCAUCACCACAUGGGUCUGCUAGGUACAUUCUCAAUUGCAUUGUAUUCGAUAUUGUUCUCCUCACUCAUUUCCUCUUGAUACUGUGUGCAAUAAUGCAGGUGGCAAAGUGAAGAUCACAUGUGGCGAAUCUUACUACUACGGCUACACCAACAAGCAUGGAAUCUUUAGAAUUGAGCUCCCGCACCAAUCCUGGGAAGAAGCAAGCAGCUGCAAGGCCAAGAUUAUCAAGAGCAGCUACAUCAAGUCGUCAUGCAAUGUCAUCACGGACUACAGGUCUGGUGCAACAGGGGCCAAGCUCAAGUUCAAAUCGAAAACAGAGAAGGAGCUCGUCUUGACAGCCGGUCCUUUCAUCUAUGCAACUCCAGAGCCAUCGUCAGUCUGCUUCUACACAUCACCUCCCUAUGAGUACAAGUCACCUCCGCCACCAACACCGGUCUACCAUUACGCCUCUCCGCCACCUCCGGUCUACUACUACAAAUCGCCACCUCCUCCUUCACCGGUUUACUACUACAAAUCCCCUCCUCCUCCUUCGCCGGUCUACUAUUACAAAUCCCCGCCUCCACCACCAUACUAUUACAAGUCCCCACCUCCACCUCCGCCUAAGUAUUACUACAAGUCGCCCCCACCACCGUCUCCAUACUAUUACAAAUCCCCGCCCCCUCCACCGUACUAUUACAAAUCCCCACCACCACCUCCCUACAAAUACGAAUCGCCGCCGCCUCCUCCUUACAAAUACGAGUCCCCACCUCCACCACCUUACUAUUACAAGUCCCCACCACCACCUCCAUACAAAUAUGAAUCCCCGCCACCUCCAGUCUACAAAUAUGAGUCUCCGCCACCCCCAGUUUACAAAUACAAGUCGCCACCACCACCAUACAAGUACGAGUCACCACCACCACCUCCAUACAAGUAUGAAUCCCCGCCACCUCCACCUUAUUACUACAAGUCCCCUCCACCACCACCAUACAAGUACGAGUCGCCACCACCUCCUCCGUACAAGUAUGAAUCUCCACCACCACCAGUUUACAAAUACAAGUCACCUCCGCCGCCACCUUAUUACUACAAAUCCCCACCGCCACCUCCAUACAAGUACGAGUCUCCACCUCCUCCUCCGUACAAGUAUGAAUCUCCACCACCACCACCUUAUUACUACAAAUCCCCCCCGCCACCUCCAUACAAGUACGAGUCACCGCCUCCUCCUCCGUACAAGUAUGAAUCUCCACCACCGCCAGUUUACAAAUACAAGUCACCCCCGCCACCACCUUAUUACUACAAAUCCCCGCCACCACCUCCAUACAAGUACGAGUCUCCACCUCCUCCUCCGUACAAGUAUGAAUCUCCACCACCACCUCCUUAUUACUACAAAUCCCCGCCGCCACCUCCCUACAAGUAUGAAUCCCCGCCACCACCUCCCUACAAAUACGAGUCACCUCCACCACCACCUUACUAUUACAAAUCUCCUCCACCGCCUCCAUACAAGUAUGAGUCGCCACCACCACCAGUCUACAAAUACGAGUCUCCGCCACCCCCAGUUUACAAAUACAAGUCGCCCCCUCCACCUUAUUACUACAAGUCUCCGCCACCCCCGCCAUACAAAUAUGAAUCCCCACCUCCACCUCCCUACAAGUAUGAAUCGCCUCCUCCUCCACCUUACUACUACAAGUCCCCUCCACCACCUCCCUACAAAUAUGAAUCCCCGCCACCACCUCCCUAUAAAUACGAGUCACCACCACCACCACCUUACUAUUACAAAUCUCCUCCACCGCCUCCAUACAAGUAUGAGUCGCCACCACCACCUCCCUACAAAUACGAGUCACCACCACCACCACCUUACAAGUAUGAAUCCCCACCUCCACCUCCGUACAAGUAUGAAUCACCUCCACCGCCUCCAUACAAGUAUGAAUCCCCUCCUCCACCUCCCUACAAAUACGAGUCACCACCCCCACCACCUUAUUACUACAAAUCGCCUCCGCCACCGGAGUAUCAAUCACCUCCUUACGUGUAUAAAUCUCCACCUCCACCCUCGUACUAGGAGCUAAGGAGCAUUUGAUUUUCAGGUGAGAAAUCUAUAGAACCACAGUUCCUAGUUUUAACAAGUUUUCAAAUUCAU
rnacentral:lncRNA from 1 species